AGAGUUUGAUCCUUGCUCAGGACGAACGCUGGCGGCGUGCCUAAUACAUGCAAGUAGAACGCUGAAGUCUGGUGCUUGCACUAGACGGAUGAGUUGCGAACGGGUGAGUAACGCGUAGGUAACCUGCCUCAUAGCGGGGGAUAACUAUUGGAAACGAUAGCUAAUACCGCAUAACAGUAUUUACCGCAUGGUAGAUAUUUGAAAGGAGCAAUUGCUUCACUAUGAGAUGGACCUGCGUUGUAUUAGCUAGUUGGUGAGGUAACGGCUCACCAAGGCUUCGAUACAUAGCCGACCUGAGAGGGUGAUCGGCCACACUGGGACUGAGACACGGCCCAGACUCCUACGGGAGGCAGCAGUAGGGAAUCUUCGGCAAUGGGGGCAACCCUGACCGAGCAACGCCGCGUGAGUGAAGAAGGUUUUCGGAUCGUAAAGCUCUGUUGUAAGAGAAGAACUGUGAGAAGAGUGGAAAGUUUCUCACUUGACGGUAUCUUACCAGAAAGGGACGGCUAACUACGUGCCAGCAGCCGCGGUAAUACGUAGGUCCCGAGCGUUGUCCGGAUUUAUUGGGCGUAAAGCGAGCGCAGGCGGUUUGAUAAGUCUGAAGUAAAAGGCUGUGGCUUAACCAUAGUACGCUUUGGAAACUGUCAAACUUGAGUGCAGAAGGGGAGAGUGGAAUUCCAUGUGUAGCGGUGAAAUGCGUAGAUAUAUGGAGGAACACCGGUGGCGAAAGCGGCUCUCUGGUCUGUAACUGACGCUGAGGCUCGAAAGCGUGGGGAGCGAACAGGAUUAGAUACCCUGGUAGUCCACGCCGUAAACGAUGAGUGCUAGGUGUUGGGUCCUUUCCGGGACUCAGUGCCGCAGCUAACGCAUUAAGCACUCCGCCUGGGGAGUACGACCGCAAGGUUGAAACUCAAAGGAAUUGACGGGGGCCCGCACAAGCGGUGGAGCAUGUGGUUUAAUUCGAAGCAACGCGAAGAACCUUACCAGGUCUUGACAUCCCGAUGACCGCCCUAGAGAUAGGGUUUCUCUUCGGAGCAUCGGUGACAGGUGGUGCAUGGUUGUCGUCAGCUCGUGUCGUGAGAUGUUGGGUUAAGUCCCGCAACGAGCGCAACCCCUAUUGUUAGUUGCCAUCAUUCAGUUGGGCACUCUAGCGAGACUGCCGGUAAUAAACCGGAGGAAGGUGGGGAUGACGUCAAAUCAUCAUGCCCCUUAUGACCUGGGCUACACACGUGCUACAAUGGCUGGUACAACGAGUCGCAAGUCGGUGACGGCAAGCUAAUCUCUUAAAGCCAGUCUCAGUUCGGAUUGUAGGCUGCAACUCGCCUACAUGAAGUCGGAAUCGCUAGUAAUCGCGGAUCAGCACGCCGCGGUGAAUACGUUCCCGGGCCUUGUACACACCGCCCGUCACACCACGAGAGUUUGUAACACCCGAAGUCGGUGAGGUAACCUUUUAGGAGCCAGCCGCCUAAGGUGGGAUAGAUGAUUGGGGUGAAGUCGUAACAAGGUAGCCGUAUCGGAAGGUGCGGCUG
rnacentral:rRNA from 1 species